rnacentral:piRNA from 1 species
UAGAGAUUAGUGCAAACAAGAAAUCUUC